CAGGUUCCAGUGGCCAGUGCCUGCAAGUUUGCCCUGUGUAUGUGUGUCCCCCACCUGGAGUGUGCUGAGCUGGCGGCUGCCUUCUACAAGUACCUUCAGGAGGGCCGCAGUGUGCACUUUGGGGAAUUCCUUAACUCCACGUGCAAGCACCUGAUGCACCACUUCCCUGACCUGCUGGGCCGCCUCGUGAGCACCAACCUGUUCUACUUCAAAAGCAGCUGGGACGACGUCCGAGCUGCUGCCCCCAUGUUCACAGGUAAGCAGGCCUUUUCCUUACCCUCGCACACCCCCCAGUUUACACACCACACAGCUUAUCCCACCUGCUUCAGGGUUCCUGGUGUUGCAUGCGGAGCCUGAACAAAGGACGCAGGUGGACCUGGAACAGCUCAUUGUAGCCCUGCAGCUCCUCCUAAAGGACCCAGUGCCUGGGGUACGGGAGAAAGCUGCCGAGACACUGGGCCGCCUGGUGAAGUUUGCCUGAGGCUGACUGCACUCCUGCAAUACACACACAGCUCGUUCUGCCUAGAGGACUCUCUGCUGCCAGACAGGGCCAAGACUGCGGUGCCCCAAUUUAUUGCCCAAUAAAGCCAGUUACACCUC
rnacentral:lncRNA from 1 species